AGUGAACGCUGGCGGUAGGCCUAACACAUGCAAGUCGAACGGCAGCACAGUAAGAGCUUGCUCUUACGGGUGGCGAGUGGCGGACGAGUGAGGAAUACAUCGGAAUCUACUUUUUCGUGGGGGAUAACGUAGGGAAAUUUACGCUAAUACCGCAUACGACCUACGGGUGAAAGCAGGGGAUCUUCGGACCUUGCGCGAUUGAAUGAGCCGAUGUCGGAUUAGCUAGUUGGCGGGGUAAAGGCCCACCAAGGCGACGAUCCGUAGCUGGUCUGAGAGGAUGAUCAGCCACACUGGAACUGAGACACGGUCCAGACUCCUACGGGAGGCAGCAGUGGGGAAUAUUGGACAAUGGGCGCAAGCCUGAUCCAGCCAUACCGCGUGGGUGAAGAAGGCCUUCGGGUUGUAAAGCCCUUUUGUUGGGAAAGAAAAGCAGCAGGUUAAUACCCCGCUGUUCUGACGGUACCCAAAGAAUAAGCACCGGCUAACUUCGUG
rnacentral:rRNA from 1 species